CACAAUGCAUCACACUGCAUCACACUACAUCACACUACAUCACAAUACAUCACAAUGCAUCACAAUGCAUCACAAUCCAUCACAGUGCAUCGCACUGCAUCACAGUGCAUCACACUGCAUCACAAUGCAUCACAGUGCAUCACAGUGCAUCACACUGCAUCACACUACAUCACAAUACAUCACAAUGCAUCACAAUGCAUCACAAUCCAUCACAAUCCAUCACAGUGCAUCGCACUGCAUCACAGUUCAUCACAAUGUAUCACACUGCAUCACAAUGCAUCACAGUGCAUCACAAUGCAUCACACUACAUCAUACUGCAUCACAACGCAUCACAAUGGAUCACAUUGGAUCACAUUGCAUCACAAUGCAUCACAAUGCAUCACAAUGCAUCACACUGCA
rnacentral:lncRNA from 1 species